rnacentral:rRNA from 1 species
AGGCAGCAGCAGGGAAUAUUGCACAAUGGGCGAAAGCCUGAUGCAGCGACACCGCGUGCGGGAUGAAGGCCUUCGGGUUGUAAGCCGCUUUCAGGAGGGAAGAAAAUGACGGUACCUCCAGAAGAAGGCCCGGCCAACUACGUGCCAGCAGCCGCGGUAAUACGUAGGGGCCAAACGUUGUCCGGAAUUAUUGGGCGUAAAGGGCUCGUAGGCGGUUCAACAAGUCGGUCGUGAAAGCCCGGGGCUCAACCCCGGGAUGCCGGUCGAAACUGUUGUGACUUGAGUUCGGUAGAGGUGAGUGGAAUUCUCAGUGUAGCGGUGGAAUGCGCAGAUAUUGAGAGGAACACCAUUAGCGAAGGCGGCUCACUGGGCCGAUACUGACGCUGAGGAGCGAAAGCGUGGGGAGCAAACAGGAUUAGAUACCCUGGUAGUCCACGCCGUAAACGAUGAACACUAGGUGUAGCGGAUUUAUUCAUGUCUGCUGUGCCGUAGCUAACGCAUUAAGUGUUCCGCCUGGGGAGUACGGCCGCAAGGCUAAAACUCAAAGGAAUUGACGG